rnacentral:rRNA from 1 species
UACGUAGGCAGCAAGCGUUGUUCGGAGUUACUGGGCGUAAAGGGUGUGUAGGCGGUUGGAUAAGUGUGGUGUGAAAUCUCCCGGCUCAACUGGGAGGGUGCGCCGAAUACUGAAUGACUUGGAGUGCGGGAGAGGAAAGUGGAAUUCCUGGUGUAGCGGUGAAAUGCGUAGAUAUCAGGAGGAACACCGGUGGUGUAGACGGCUUUCUGGACCGUAACUGACGCUGGAGACA